rnacentral:rRNA from 1 species
CCUACGGGAGGCAGCAGUGAGGAAUAUUGGUCAAUGGGCGGGAGCCUGAACCAGCCAAGUCGCGUGAGGGAAGACGGUCCUAUGGAUUGUAAACCUCUUUAGGCGGGGAGCAAUGCCGGGCACGCGUGCCCGGAGGGAGAGUACCCGCAGAAUAAGCCUCGGCUAACUCCGUGCCAGCAGCCGCGGUAAUACGGAGGAUGCGAGCGUUAUCCGGUUUUAUGGGGUUAAAAGGGUGCGUAGGCGGAUUUUAAAGUCAGCGGUAAAAUGUCCGGGCUCAACCCGGGCCGGCCGUUGAAACUGGGGAUCUUGAGUGGGCGGGAAGUAUGCGGAAUGCGUGGUGUAGCGGUGAAAUGCAUAGAUAUCACGCAGAACUCCGAUUGCGAAGGCAGCAUACCGGCGCCCGACUGACGCUGAGGCACGAAAGCGUGGGGAUCGAACAGGAUUAGAUACCCGUGUAGUC